CUUCCUCAAAAGAUAAACGGCCGAGAUGCUGCAAAUGCCGCAAGAAAAAAAGAAGAAAGCUCCAAAGAUGGAGGAGGAGACGUUGUCGUCAAUCGCGGAACUUAUGCUUUCGAUGUUUUAUCUGCUGUAUUUUAUUUGGGACAGUUGUGGCCUGUGUAUUGACUUUCAUUCCAAUAUUUACUGCAACCCAGUGAUGAGUAAAACAAGUGCACAUUUGAUUUCAUUCUGUAUUUUUUGUGACUCCAAUAAUAAAAUUGACUAAGAUACUAA